rnacentral:rRNA from 1 species
UGGAACGUGAAAACGGGGCAACCCGCAAGUAUAGUGGCGGACGGGUGAGUAACACGUGGGAAUCUGCCUUCAGGAGAGGGAUAGCAGACCGAAAGGACUAUUAAUACCUCGUAAGCCGCAAGGUGAAAGGCGCAAGUUGCCUGAAGAUGAGCCCGCGACCGAUUAGCUAGUUGGUAAGGUAAAGGCGGACCAAGGCAAAGAUCGGUAUCCGGCCUGAGAGGGCGCACGGACACACUGGAACUGAAACACGGUCCAGACUCCUACGGGAGGCAGCAGUGGGGAAUUUUGCGCAAUGGGGGAAACCCUGACGCAGCAACGCCGCGUGGAGGAUGAAGUCCCUUGGGACGUAAACUCCUUUCGACCGGGACGAUAAUGACGGUACCGGUGGAAGAAGCACCGGCUAACUCUGUG